AAAUAAAAAUCGGCCUCCAGAUAUCGAAUUUCGAUCACACAGAGACUCAUGUAGACUAGAUGUUAAAUAUCGGUGCUGCUAAUAACGUUACCGAAAUCUCAUCCCUGCGGCGAUAGAUCGAUGAAUUUUUGAAGGUUAGAUUUCGCUGGUAUUUGCGACCGACAGUUUCUCAUUGGCUCUUUCGGGUAGUCAUGGGCUGAAAUUGGUGUAUCAAUGGUCGAAUGUCAACAGCCAUAUUGUCGAAGGUCACAAACAAAGGUCACACAUUCAACACGAAAGUGGGAAAGACGCAUCAUUGCUCAUAAAACCUCAUCUGAAUGGUACCGGAAAAUCGCAUGAGCCCGAGUUGCACGCUGUGGUGCAGUUAGAGGGUUUUCAGGUGCAGUAAGUACUAAAAUUUAAAAACAACUCAUACAUUUGUACAGUCAAGUUUAUUAAAUAAAUAUUUAGCUGUGAUAUACCAUUCGCUUAGAUACUGACUAAAUAUUUUACAAUUCUACAAUAUAUCUAUUAGUAAAAGAGUUAUUCAUUAAUAAUGCUAUUAGAAACGAUACAUUUUUUUUUAAUAAUGCUAUUGCACUUUUAUUUGAAUCGUAAAAGGCCACAUCUCAGGUAACUUUCACUUUAAAUUACACAUAUAAA